GCGGAGGUAACUCAAUGGUAGAGUUCCUGCCUUCCAAGCAGGUUGUUGCGAGUUCGAGUCUCGUCCUCCGCUCCA
rnacentral:tRNA from 1 species